rnacentral:tRNA from 1 species
GCAAUGGUGGUUCACAGGUAGAAUUUUCACCUUCCAUAUAGGAGACCUGGGUUCAUGUCCUGGCCAGUGCA